rnacentral:sRNA from 17 species
GUAUAAGAUGUAGUUACUAUGCCUUUAAUUAAAAAAAGAGUCGUAAACCGAUUAUAUCAUCGUGUUUGUUUAUAUGCAAUAUUAAAGAACCUGGUAAAGCUACCCAGGUUCUUUUUUGA